GAUGAACGCUGGCGGCGUGCCUAACACAUGCAAGUCGAACGGGGUUACACGAGUAGCAAUACUUGUGCAACCUAGUGGCGGACGGGUGAGUAACGCGUGAGCAACCUACCUUCCAGAGGGGGAUAACACAGGGAAACCUGUGCUAAUACCGCAUAAAGUACAGUGGGGGCAUCCCUGCAGUACCAAAGGAGCAAUCCGCUGGGAGAUGGGCUCGCGUCCGAUUAGGUAGUUGGUGGGGUAACGGCUCACCAAGCCGACGAUCGGUAGCCGGACUGAGAGGUUGGCCGGCACAUUGGGACUGAGACACGGCCCAGACUCCUACGGGAGGCAGCAGUGGGGAAUAUUGCGCAAUGGACGAAAGUCUGACGCAGCGACGCCGCGUGAGCGACGAAGGCCUUCGGGUCGUAAAGCUCUGUUCUUGGGGACGAAGUAUGACGGUACCCAAGGGAAAGCCCCGGCUAACUACGUGCCAGCAGCCGCGGUAAAGUACUCUAU
rnacentral:rRNA from 1 species